UUAAAUUGAAGAGUUUGAUCAUGGCUCAGAUUGAACGCUGGCGGCAGGCCUAACACAUGCAAGUCGAACGGUAACAGGAAACAGCUUGCUGUUUCGCUGACGAGUGGCGGACGGGUGAGUAAUGUCUGGGAAACUGCCUGAUGGAGGGGGAUAACUACUGGAAACGGUAGCUAAUACCGCAUAACGUCGCAAGACCAAAGAGGGGGACCUUCGGGCCUCUUGCCAUCGGAUGUGCCCAGAUGGGAUUAGCUUGUUGGUGGGGUAACGGCUCACCAAGGCGACGAUCCCUAGCUGGUCUGAGAGGAUGACCAGCCACACUGGAACUGAGACACGGUCCAGACUCCUACGGGAGGCAGCAGUGGGGAAUAUUGCACAAUGGGCGCAAGCCUGAUGCAGCCAUGCCGCGUGUAUGAAGAAGGCCUUCGGGUUGUAAAGUACUUUCAGCGGGGAGGAAGGGAGUAAAGUUAAUACCUUUGCUCAUUGACGUUACCCGCAGAAGAAGCACCGGCUAACUCCGUGCCAGCAGCCGCGGUAAUACGGAGGGUGCAAGCGUUAAUCGGAAUUACUGGGCGUAAAGCGCACGCAGGCGGUUUGUUAAGUCAGAUGUGAAAUCCCCGGGCUCAACCUGGGAACUGCAUCUGAUACUGGCAAGCUUGAGUCUCGUAGAGGGGGGGAGAAUUCCAGGUGUAGCGGUGAAAUGCGUAGAGAUCUGGAGGAAUACCGGUGGCGAAGGCGGCCCCCUGGACGAAGACUGACGCUCAGGUGCGAAAGCGUGGGGAGCAAACAGGAUUAGAUACCCUGGUAGUCCACGCCGUAAACGAUGUCGACUUGGAGGUUGUGCCCUUGAGGCGUGGCUUCCGGAGCUAACGCGUUAAGUCGACCGCCUGGGGAGUACGGCCGCAAGGUUAAAACUCAAAUGAAUUGACGGGGGCCCGCACAAGCGGUGGAGCAUGUGGUUUAAUUCGAUGCAACGCGAAGAACCUUACCUGGUCUUGACAUCCACGGAAGUUUUCAGAGAUGAGAAUGUGCCUUCGGGAACCGUGAGACAGGUGCUGCAUGGCUGUCGUCAGCUCGUGUUGUGAAAUGUUGGGUUAAGUCCCGCAACGAGCGCAACCCUUAUCCUUUGUUGCCAGCGGUCCGGCCGGGAACUCAAAGGAGACUGCCAGUGAUAAACUGGAGGAAGGUGGGGAUGACGUCAAGUCAUCAUGGCCCUUACGACCAGGGCUACACACGUGCUACAAUGGCGCAUACAAAGAGAAGCGACCUCGCGAGAGCAAGCGGACCUCAUAAAGUGCGUCGUAGUCCGGAUUGGAGUCUGCAACUCGACUCCAUGAAGUCGGAAUCGCUAGUAAUCGUGGAUCAGAAUGCCACGGUGAAUACGUUCCCGGGCCUUGUACACACCGCCCGUCACACCAUGGGAGUGGGUUGCAAAAGAAGUAGGUAGCUUAACCUUCGGGAGGGCGCUUACCACUUUGUAAUUCAUGACUGGGGUGAAGUCGUAACAAGGUAACCGUAGGGGAACCUGCGGUUGGAUCACCUCCUUACCUUAAAGAAGC
rnacentral:rRNA from 1 species